rnacentral:rRNA from 1 species
UAAUACCUCAUAAUAUUUAUCAUUCGCAUGAUUGAUAAAUUAAAGUUUCGAUGGUUAGAGAUGGGCAUGCGUGACAUUAGCUAGUUGGUGAGGUAACGGCUCACCAAGGCCACGAUGUCUAGGGGUUCUGAGAGGAUUUUCCCCCACACUGGUACUGAGACACGGACCAGACUCCUACGGGAGGCAGCAGUAAGGAAUAUUGGUCAAUGGGCGAAAGCCUGAACCAGCCAUGCCGCGUGCAGGAUGACGGCCCUACGGGUUGUAAACUGCUUUUGUAUAGGAAGAAACUCUUGUACGUGUACAGGACUGACGGUACUAUACGAAUAAGCACCGGCUAACUCCGUGCCAGCAGCCGCGGUAAUACGGAGGGUGCAAGCGUUAUCCGGAUUUAUUGGGUUUAAAGGGUGCGCAGGCGAAUGAUAAGUCAGUGGUGAAAUCCUACAGCUCAACUGUAGAACUGCCAUUGAUACUGUCAUUCUUGAGUACAGUUGAAGUGGGCGGAAUGUAUCAUGUAGCGGUGAAAUGCAUAGAUAUGAUACAGAACUCCGAUAGCGAAGGCAGCUCACUAAACUGUAACUGACGCUCAGGCACGAAAGCGUGGGGAGCAAACAGGAUUAGAUACCCUGGUAGUCCACGCCGUAAACGAUGAUCACUCGUUGUUGGCAAUACAUCGUCAGCGACUGAACGAAAGCAUUAAGUGAUCCACCUGGGGAGUACGAUCGCAAGGUUGAAACUCAAAGGAAUUGACGGGGGCCCGCACAAGCGGAGGAGCAUGUGGUUUAAUUCGAUGAUACGCGAGGAACCUUACCUGGGCUUAAAUGUAGAACGACAUUCCGAGAAAUCGGAACUUCCUUCGGGACGUUUUACAAGGUGCUGCAUGGUUGUCGUCAGCUCGUGCCGUGAGGUGUCGGGUUAAGUCCCAUAACGAGCGCAACCCCUAUCAUUAGUUGCCAUCAGGUAAAGCUGGGGACUCUAAUGAAACUGCCUACGCAAGUAGUGAGGAAGGUGGGGAUGACGUCAAAUCAGCACGGCCCUUAUGUCCAGGGCUACACACGUGCUACAAUGGCCGGUACAGAGGGUCGCUAUCUGGUGACAGAGUGCUAAUCUCAAAAGCCGGUCUCAGUUCGGAUCGAAGUCUGCAACUCGACUUCGUGAAGCUGGAUUCGCUAGUAAUCGCAUAUCAGCAAUGGUGCGGUGAAUACGUUCCU